rnacentral:pre_miRNA from 1 species
AUCUUUGGAUAGCUUCAGUGAACAUUCAACGCUGUCGGUGAGUUUGAGAACUACAAAAACCAUCGACCGUUGACUGUACCUUGAGGUUUAUCACAAACCC